rnacentral:rRNA from 1 species
AGCGAACGCUGGCGGCGUGCCUAACACAUGCAAGUCGAACGUGAAAGGGAGCAAUCCCAAGUAAAGUGGCGUACGGGUGAGUAACACGUAGGUAAUCUACCCCAGAAUCUGGAAUAACCGGCCGAAAGGCUGGCUAAUACUGGAUAGAGCGACGGAAUCCGUAAUUGGGUUUUUCGGGAAAGGGAGCCUGUAAAAAGGCCUUCGUUCUGGGAUGAGCCUGCGUCCCAUCAGCUAGUUGGUGAGGUAAAAGCUUACCAAGGCAAUGACGGGUAGCUGGUCUGAGAGGACGAUCAGCCACACUGGAACUGAAACACGGUCCAGACUCCUACGGGAGGCAGCAGGGGGGAAUCUUGCGCAAUGGACGAAAGUCUGACGCAGCAACGCCGCGUGAGUGAAGAAGGCCUUCGGGUUGUAAAGCUCUGUCGAGUGGGACGAAAAUGCUUGGAGUUCACAGCUCCAGGAACUGACGGUACCACUAAAGGAAGCACCGGCUAACUCCGUG